UGCGUCACAGGAUCUGGUACCUGUCAAUUUCGUCCUACACCUAGUAGGUGUCGGCGGGGAGGUGGAAGGAGUGGAAGGGAAAGAAGGUGCGUCACAGGAUCCAGGGCCUGUCAGUUUUGUCCUAGACCUAGCUGGUGUUGGCCGCGGAGGUGGAGGGGAAGGGAAGGAAAGUGCGUCACAGGAUCUGGUACCUGUCAAUUUCGUCCUACACCUAGUAGGUGUCGGCGGGGAGGUGGAAGGGGAGGAAAGUGCGUCACAGGAUCUAGGGCUCGUCAGUUUUGUCCUAGACCUAGGAGGUGUCGACGGGGAGGUGGAAGGAGGGGAAGAGAAGGCAAGUGCGUCACAGGAUCCAGGGCCUGUCAGUUUUGUCCUAGACCUAGCUGGUGUUGGCCGCGGAGGUGGAGGGGAAGGGAAGGAAAGUGCGUCACAGGAUCUGGUACCUGUCAAUUUCGUCCUACACCUAGUAGGUGUCGGCGGGGAGGUGGAAGGGGAGGAAAGUGCGUCACAGGAUCUAGGGCUCGUCAGUUUUGUCCUAGACUUAGCAGGUGUUGGCCGCGGAGGUGGAAGGAGGGGAAGGGAAGGAAGGUGCGUCACAGGAUCCAGGGCCUGUCAGUUUUGUCCUAGACCUAUCUGGUGUUGGCCGCGGAGGUGGAAGGAAGGGAAGGAAAGUGCGUCAUAGUGUCCCGCGACUGGUAGGCCCCUGAGGCAGCUUUAUUCUAGGUAGGCCUAUUUGGUGUUAAUUGCGGAGGUGGAAGGGGGGGAGGGGGAAAAAUGCUACGUAGAAUCCGAGGCCGUCAACCCGAGAGGCAGCUUUGUUCUAGGCCUUGCCAGUGUUUGCUGCAAAGGUGGAAAAGGGGGAGGAGUUUGAGUAUCCUGCGGCAGUAAGAUUGUGGGAGGGGCUGAGUCCUCGGCCUAUCCACUAUUGGCUGCGAAAGUAGAAAGAGGGAGGGGGAAGAAAGUACGUCAGAGAAUCCAGGGCCAAUCAAGUUGCAGAGGCUGAUUUGUCCCACCCCAGCUAGCGUUUAUUGCGGAAGGUGGGAGGGGGAGGGGAAAGUGCGUCAAGAGAAUCCGUAGCCAAUCAGGUCCCAGAAGCGGCCUUGUUCUAGAACUUGCCUGCAUUUGCUGCAAAGGUGGGAAAGGGGAGGGGAGGUUACGUCAGAUAAUCCAGGGCCAAUCAGAUCAUGGGAGGGGCUGAGUUGUCGGCCUAUUCGCUAUUGGCUGCAAUGGUGGAAGGAGGGUGGGGAAAGAAAGUGCGUCAGAGAAUCCAGGGCCAACCAAACUCCAGAGGCAGCUUUGUCCUAGCCUUUGCUGCGACGGUGGAAAAGGGGGCGGGGAAGUUUGCGUCAGAGAAUCCAGGACCAAUCCUGGGAGCCUCUGAGUCUCUAUGUUUGCUGCAAAGGUGGAAGAGGGUGGGGAAGGGGGCUGUGCCAGGGAAGGUACGGCCAAGACGUGGGCCAAUCAGAGCCCAGCCAGAGUCGGCUUUGUCAUCUUUCAGGUAAAGCAUCCUUCAAUUGUGGGUGGGUGGGAGAAGAGAAGCUGCUCCUUUUCUUACCCCUCGGAAAGGGUCCUGGGUUGUUUCUUUUUUUAAUGUGCUCAGUAGGCCAAAGUAUUGGUAAGAGCAGGUUAAUUUAGUGAUCAAUGACAAAACAUGUUUAUGCUUCGAUAUACAGCAUUCAUUUCAAUAUGUUUAUAUCAGCACAGAAGUGGUGUUUUAAUUAAAUACAAAGCCGGAUUUGGCUAUAAAAACAAAAAUGUAGCUCUAUGGACAGCCUUAAUGCGGUAAGACUAUUACUCAUCAUUAUAAUGGGGAACGUUUUUGAAAAAAUAAGGUGUUAAAUAGGAUUUAAAAGGGAUACUAUUUGUGAUUUUAAAUCGUAAUGUUAAGACACAUCAUGAGCAAUAUGUUAAAAAUGAAUAAAAAAAAUUGAAAAGGGGGGGACCCUGGGAGGUUAGAGCAGGGUGGAGUUGGGUGUUGUUUUUUUUUUUUUCUCAACGUGUUGAGUUGGACAAGGUAUUGGGAUUCACACGUUAAUUUUAAAAAAGUGUUUUGAUAUGAAACAGUUAUUUCAAUAUAAUUUGUAUCAGCACAGGGGUGAUGCUCUGAAUUAAAACACUGUUCCAGAACUACACAGCCAAAGAGGAAAGGUGAAAAUACAAUGUCAUAUAUUGCUACCAAAAAAAAGGUAAUUAUUUGCACAGUCCUGAUCAGUCAGAUCCUGAACUACAUCGCUAAAGUGGAAAGGUGAACAUACAGUGCCUUAUUUGGAUACUUUCCCCCCCAAAAAAAAACCGUUCUAAGCACGGAUCAGGUAAGAGUGCUGUGGAUGCUAAUAUUGUAUGAUGCAGUGCAUAAAAUGCUGGACCUGGAAUCAGGAAGACCUGAGUUCAAAUUUGGCCUCAGACACUUACUUGCUGUGUGACCCAGGACAUGAUUUGGUUGUAUUUUUUGAAAAAUAUAAAGUGUUAAAUACAUAAGACUUUAAAAGGACACCAUUUGUGCUUUUAAAUCACUGUAUUGCUAAGCAUAUGCAAUGUAAUAAAUAAAAAUGAAUAAAUUAAAAGAAAAAAGAACCCCAAAAUAUCAGAGAAGGAACAGGGCUAUAAAGUUCUUUAGAAUAUGGAAUGUCUAACUUGAAGGUACCUUUCAAGACAAUAUACUGAAGGUUGCAUAAAGCUUAGAGUAGUGAAUUUCAGAGGUGGGAGUGACCUAGGAAUCACAGAAUGUCAAUGGGGAGGGCCCUUAAAACAUAAUGUCGGAGCUGGGAAGAAGGUUUUUUUAAUGUGUUCAGAGGGCCAAUGUAUUGGAAGGGACAGAUAAAUUUUUGAAAGACUAUUAUGUAUAUGUAUAGUAUGAGAUAGAACAUUUAUUUUGCUAUCAUUUAUUUCUGCAUAAUUUUAAUGCUCUGAAUUAAAAGUCAGGUCCUGAACUACACUGCCAAAAUGGAAAGGUGAACAUAUAAUGCCUUACCUGGAUACAAAAAAAAAUUGUAAGCAUGGAUCAGGUAAGAUUGCCAUUGGAUAUUAAUGUUAUGUGAUGCAAAACAUAGAGUGCUUGACCUGGAAUCAGGAAAACUUAAGUUCAAAUCUGACCUCAGACAUUUUAACUUGCUGUGUGACCCAGGACAUGAAUUGGUUUUACUGAAAAAUAUGAAGUAUUAAAUAUACAAGACUUUUAAAGGACACCAUUUGUGCUUUAACAUCAUUGUAAACAUAUGCGAUGUGAUAAAAUAAAAAUAAAGGAAAAGAAAAAUAGUCUAGAAGGUCAGAGUGAGGUUGGGCCAUAGUCCAAAAUAUUGUGAGGUUGGGGGAGUGGGGUAGGAGUUGUCUUUUAAAGUAGAAUGAUGGAGGUAGGAGAUAGCUUUAGCCAACAGAUUUUCACAAGUAGGAGGUUAGGCUGAACACUGAAGGUCAGAACUGAAAGUGGACAGAAGCCAGGAUACCAAACCUGGGAUGAGACUUAGAAUAUGGAAUGUACAAGCUGAGAGGCAUCUUAGCAUCCAGAAGGCCUGAAGUGAGUGAAGCCCUAGAAAACUAAAAUAUCCCAGUUUGGAGGGAUCUUCUAAAACAGGAAGUAGGACAUGGUCAGAGUCCAAGAACCCAAACGGUCAGAGCCCAUGAGACCUUAGGACAUAGAAUGUCAGGUGGGCUAAAAUGCUGGGAAUGACUGGUUAAUUUAGGAAACAAAAUAACAAAGCAUAUUUAUGAUAGGAGACACAACAUAUACUUCAACAUAAUUUACACCAGCUCAGUUUUGAUGCUCUGAACUAAAAGUCAGGUCCUGAACCACAGACACAAAGAAGACCAGUAAUAAUAUGGUACCUUAUCUGGCUACCAGAAAAGAAUGUAAUUCCCUGUAUGGCCUUGAUCAGGUAAGACUGCUAUUGAUACCGUUGUUAUUAGGAAUGGAUUGGCUGGAUUUAUCGAAGUAAAUAAAGUGCUGAGUAUUCAAGA